rnacentral:rRNA from 1 species
CCCAUUGAGCCGUACCCGAAACCGACACAGGUGGGAAGGUAGAGUAUACCAAGGCGUUGAGAGAACUAUGGUUAAGGAACUCGGCAAAUUGCACGCGUAACUUCGGGAUAAGCGUGCCCGGUUGUAGCGCAAGCUAUGGCCGGGGGCACAUAAGAGGGGGUGGCAACUGUUUAUCAAAAACACAGGGCUCUGCAAACUCCAAAGAGGAAGUAUAGGGUCUGACGCCUGCCCGGUGCUGGAAGGUUAAGAAAAGCUGUUAGCGCAGUGGAUUGAAGCCCCAGUAAACGGCGGCCGUAACAAUAACGGUCCUAAGGUAGCGAAAUUCCUUGUCGGGUAAGUUCCGACCCGCAUGAAUGGCGUAAUGAUCUCCCCACUGUCUCAACCAUAGACUCAGCGAAAUAGAAUUCCUCGUGAAGAUGCGGGGUACCCGCGGCUAGACGGAAAGACCCUAUGAACCUUUACUGUAGCUUUACAGUGGGCUUAGGAAAUGCUUGUGCAGAAUAGGUAGGAGGCGAUGAAGCCAAGGCGUCAGCUUUGGUGGAGCCAACUUUGAGAUACUACCCUGGCAUUUCUUGAGUUCUAACCUCGCACCGAACCGGUGCAGGGACCCUGUAUGGUGGGCAGUUUGACUGGGGCGGUCGCCUCCCAAAGAGUAACGGAGGCGCUCGAAGUUCGGCUCAGGACGGUUGGAAACCGUCUCUCGAGUGUAAUGGCAAAAGCCGGGCUGACUGCAAGAGGGACACCUCGAGCAGGUGGGAAACCAGGACAUAGUGAUCCGGUGGUUCCGCAUGGAAGGGCCAUCGCAAACGGAUAAAAGGUACUCUAGGGAUAACAGGCUGAUCGCAUCCAAGCGUCCAUAGCGACGAUGCGGUUUGGCACCUCGAUGUCGACUCAUCACAUCCUGGGGCUGGAGCAGGUCCCAAGGGUUCGGCUGUUCGCCGAUUAAAGUGGUACGUGAGUUGGGUUCAAAACGUCGUGAGACAGUUUGGUCCCUAUCUACCGUGGGUGUAGGAGUGUUGAGAUGAGUUGCCCUUAGUACGAGAGGACCGGGGCGAACACACCUCUGGUGUAUCUGUUGUGGCGCCAGCCGCAUUGCAGAGUAGCUAUGUGUGGACGGGAUAACCGCUGAAAGCAUCUAAGCGGGAAGCCCCCAUCAAAACAAGCACUCCCAAUAAGACCGUUGUAGACUACGACGUUGAUAGGUCAGGUGUGUAAGUGCAGCAAUGCAUUGAGCUAACUGAUACUAAUGAUCCA